UCCGUGUUUAGUGUCCAGGUGUGGAGCUUGUUGUUGGUGUGAAGAAACUACUGACUGAAGAUGAUGAUGGAGGAAGAGGAGCACAGAGCAGAGUCUGCAGGAUCCAGCUGUCCGUCCAUGAGGAGUGAUCAGUCCAAAGGAAACCCUCCACUCUUCAGUGGUGAACCUGGACCAAAGAGAGGUCAGAGGUCACAGUCUGCUGGGUCCAGCUGUAUGUCUGUGAGGAGUGAC